rnacentral:rRNA from 1 species
UCAUUUGCCUUUUAAUUGGAGGCUAGUAUGAAUGGUUGAACGAAAUACAAACUGUCUCACUCUUAUAAUUGUAAAAAUUUACCUUUCUAGUUAAAAGGCUUGAAUUUUAUUAAAGGACGAGAAGACCCUAUAGAACUUUAUAUAAUUUUGUAUAAAUAUUUAUCGUAAAAUAAUUUUAUUUAUAAACUAUUAUAUUUUGUUGGGGUGACAGGAAAAUUUAUUAAACUUUUUUAAUUUAAAACCAUUAAUUUAUGAAUAUUUGAUCCAUUAUUAUUGAUUAUUAGAAUAAGUUACCUUAGGGAUAACAGCGUAAUUUUGUUGGAGAGUUCUUAUCUAUAACAAAGUUUGCGACCUCG